AAAAGAGGGCUUGAUUGCAAGACAUACAGGGCGAGCAAGGAUGAAAAUCGGACUUAGUGAUCCGGUGGUUCUGCGUGGAAGGGCCAUCGCUCAACGGAUAAAAGCUACCCUGGGGAUAACAGGCUUAUCUCCCCCAAGAGUCCACAUCGACGGGGAGGUUUGGCACCUCGAUGUCGGCUCAUCACAUCCUGGGGCUGUAGUAGGUCCCAAGGGUUGGGCUGUUCGCCCAUUAAAGUGGUACGCGAGCUGGGUUCAGAACGUCGUG
rnacentral:rRNA from 1 species